UACGGGGGGAGCAAGCGUUGUUCGGAUUUACUGGGCGUAAAGGGCGCGUAGGCGGUCAGCACAAGUCAGUUGUGAAAUCUCCGGGCUUAACUCGGAAAGGUCAACUGAUACUGUGCGACUAGAGUGCAGAAGGGGCAACUGGAAUUCUCGGUGUAGUGGUGAAAUGCGUAGAUAUCGGGAGGAACACCAGUGGCGAAGGCGACUUCCUGGCCUGUUCUUGACGCUGAGGCGCGAAAGCUGGGGGAGCAAACGGG
rnacentral:rRNA from 1 species